UACGGAGGGUGCAAGCGUUGUUCGGAAUCACUGGGCGUAAAGGGCGCGUAGGCGGGUUUGAAAGUCUGAUGUGAAAGCCCGGGGCUCAACUCCGGAAGUGCAUUGGAAACUUCAAAUCUUGAGUUCGGGAGAGGAAAGCAGAAUUCCCGGUGUAGGGGUGAAAUCCGUAGAGAUCGGGAGGAAAACCAGUGGCGAAGGCGGCUUUCUGGAACGAAACUGACGUUGAGGCGCGAAAGCGUGGGGAGCAAACAGG
rnacentral:rRNA from 1 species